ACUUAACUAGUCGUUUUGCACAUAUUUUAAGCUAUCUUAUCUCAUUAUAUAUACCCACCACGCACCCACACGGUCUUGGAAGCUUCAAUCAUCAUCCCGUUGGGUUUUCCAAAACCAAGCUAAGGAGACAUGGCUUCAUCUGCCUCCAGGCCUUAUCUUCUUCUCAUUCUUCUGCUCCUCCACCUUUCGUCGCAGAAGCAUUCAAGAUUUGCAGAAGCCAGGCCGUUGAUUUCUCUCGCGAACCAAGAAAGCAAAUAUGCGAAGCUUUUCGCGACGCUUGGGAUGGUGUGCAAGUGUUGCGACGGCGCCGAGGUUUCAGACGGAGGAGGAGAAGAAGGGUGUAAAGUUUCAUGGUCUGGUUCAUGUUCAAAGCUUCAGUGCCUUCCAUGGAAACUCAAAUGAUCCAUUUUUGUACAGUCUCAUGAGUUUAAUUUGUGGUGUCUUUUAAUUUGGUGCCAGCCAAUCUGCAGAUGUAUAUAAUAGAUCGAAAUCUUGCCUUGUUACUCUGCCCUGCCCUGUAUGUUUUAUGUGAGGGAUUUCUCUGGCUGGGAUCCUUAAAUUCUCCACAAAUUUUCAUACUUUUUGUCAUCUCUCAUCUUCAAUUCUUCUCACCCAAAGUUUGUGGUUUCAGAGAUCCAUACAUUUAUGUUGUGUUUUGGGGAGAGGUUGGAACUAAAUAUCUAUUUUGUAAUAUUAUAGUUGGAGCAAUUUAUCACCAUAAUAAUUCAAAGCAUACUAUGGAUCAGAUCAGAGUGGUGAAUUGCUCUAAUUACUAUAAUUUUUACUAUUAUUUUGUACAUUCAAUUUCACUAU